GCCCCGCUAGCAGAGGCCUCUAAAAGAAACAGGACGCCUUUCUCCCGCCGGCUACAGGAUCUGGAGGAAUAAUAUUGUUUUAGCCUGGAUUCUCCAUAAAACAGAGCCUUUGGCAUAUUUGUAUGCUAACAUCUCACUGGGGAGUGCAACCUCGGAGAAACCACAUUGAGGGAAAAAUGAAGCAAGAAGGAGACAUACAAAGGUAAGAGGCAUUACUGAGAGGACCCAAGUUUUGUAAUUAAUGAAGCUAACUGCUCGGAUUCACAGUACAUUUUCAGAGAGGUUGUAUGAACUACUCUGUCUUGGAAAAUCCUCAGGAGGGGAAGCGACUGGAAUACUCUUUUUCUCCUGCCUUUAUACAUCAGAACUCCAGAACUCCAGGCUCUCCAGCCUCUGGACUUAUGUCAGUCUCUGGACUUACAACAGCAGCCCCCUGGAUUCUCAAGCCUUUGGCCUCAGACUGAGAAUUAUACCAGCAACUUCUUGGUUCUGAGGCUUUGGGGCAGCCAUGCUACCAGUAUCCCAGCGUUUCCAGCAGAAGGCCUGUUGUGGGACUUCUCAGCCUCUGUGAGUGUUUAAUCUUGCUUAAAAGAACUCCAGAUGGUCCAGGAGCUGCAGGACCCUUUGCCAAUUAUCAGAGGAAGAUAAGGCCUGUGUGAAACCAGGGCAAACCUGAACCAGAGACCCCAUGCUACCUUUAGAUCAUUAACAUAUCAUCAUAAUGCUAAAACCUCAUCCAUAGAAGAGAAUUGUGGCUGUUUUCUGAAAAUACAUUAUAUGAAGAAGCAUGUUCAUGAUCUGCACCUGCACAUCUGGAGUUCCUCCCCACACAAAACGUACCUCCCUGCCCCACAUGUGACUCUUUAAAAUCCCCCAGCUUCCCAUAUCUCAGGGAGAAGGAGUCUUUAGAGAAAGAGCUCCUUCCUCCAUUCCUGGCCAGGAGUAAAACCUGCUUGCCCUUUUUCCCAAUUAGGUGUUAGAGGAGAACCCAGUUACACUGUAUCAGUAAGAAUUGCAUUAAACCCUUAUAUCAACUUGGGAAGAAUUGACAGUUUUACCAUGGUAAGUCUUCCAAGCCGUAAAUAGGUAUGUUCAUUCAGUUUUUUAGAUUUUUAAAAUUUCUUUCAUCAACAUUUUGUAGUUCU